rnacentral:rRNA from 1 species
GCGUAGUCGAUGGGAAACGGGUUAAUAUUCCCGUACUUGGUGUUACUGCGAAGGGGGGACGGAGAAGGCUAUGUUGGCCGGGCGACGGUUGUCCCGGUUUAAGCGUGUAGGUGUGUGUUCCAGGUAAAUCCGGUUCACUUUAACACUGAGGCGUGACGACGAGGCACUACGGUGCUGAAGCAACAAAUGCCCUGCUUCCAGGAAAAGCCUCUAAGCAUCAGGUAACAUCAAAUCGUACCCCAAACCGACACAGGUGGUCAGGUAGAGAAUACCAAGGCGCUUGAGAGAACUCGGGUGAAGGAACUAGGCAAAAUGGUGCCGUAACUUCGGGAGAAGGCACGCUGACACGUAGGUGAAGUGAUUUACUCAUGGAGCUGAAGUCAGUCGAAGAUACCAGCUGGCUGCAACUGUUUAUUAAAAACACAGCACUGUGCAAACACGAAAGUGGACGUAUACGGUGUGACGCCUGCCCGGUGCCGGAAGGUUAAUUGAUGGGGUCAGCGCAAGCGAAGCUCCUGAUCGAAGCCCCGGUAAACGGCGGCCGUAACUAUAACGGUCCUAAGGUAGCGAAAUUCCUUGUCGGGUAAGUUCCGACCUGCACGAAUGGCGUAAUGAUGGCCAGGCUGUCUCCACCCGAGACUCAGUGAAAUUGAACUCGCUGUGAAGAUGCAGUGUACCCGCGGCAAGACGGAAAGACCCCGUGAACCUUUACUAUAGCUUGACACUGAACAUUGAGCCUUGAUGUGUAGGAUAGGUGGGAGGCUUUGAAGUGUGGACGCCAGUCUGCAUGGAGCCGACCUUGAAAUACCACCCUUUAAUGUUUGAUGUUCUAACGUGGACCCGUUACCCGGGUUGCGGACAGUGUCUGGUGGGUAGUUUGACUGGGGCGGUCUCCUCCUAAAGAGUAACGGAGGAGCACGAAGGUUGGCUAAUCCUGGUCGGACAUCAGGAGGUUAGUGCAAUGGCAUAAGCCAGCUUGACUGCGAGCGUGACGGCGCGAGCAGGUGCGAAAGCAGGUCAUAGUGAUCCGGUGGUUCUGAAUGGAAGGGCCAUCGCUCAACGGAUAAAAGGUACUCCGGGGAUAACAGGCUGAUACCGCCCAAGAGUUCAUAUCGACGGCGGUGUUUGGCACCUCGAUGUCGGCUCAUCACAUCCUGGGGCUGAAGUAGGUCCCAAGGGUAUGGCUGUUCGCCAUUUAAAGUGGUACGCGAGCUGGGUUUAGAACGUCGUGAGACAGUUCGGUCCCUAUCUGCCGUGGGCGCUGGAGAACUGAGGGGGGCUGCUCCUAGUACGAGAGGACCGGAGUGGACGCAUCACUGGUGUUCGGGUUGUCAUGCCAAUGGCACUGCCCGGUAGCUAAAUGCGGAAGAGAUAAGUGCUGAAAGCAUCUAAGCACGAAACUUGCCCCGAGAUGAGUUCUCCCUGAGACUUAGAGUCUCCUGAAGGAACGUUGAAGACGACGACGUUGAUAGGCCGGGUGUGUAAGCGCAGCGAUGCGUUGAGCUAACCGGUACUAAUGAACCGUGAGGCUUAACCUUACAACGCCGAAG